rnacentral:lncRNA from 1 species
UAUGAUGCCUCAGAAGUCUCAUAUUUCAAAUCUUCUUUGGAUUGCAAAUUGCUUGAGCGUUCGUGGACUAAAUCCUGGGCGAAUACACGGAGUUCCUCGAGCAGGCUUACCAAUGCAGACUAUAGCACUGGUUGGGUCUUUGAUUUGUCUGAAAAGUUAGGGCAGUCAGAAGCGCAGCUGGGAAGAGGGAGUUUCAUGUUGAGUUUAGAAGCACAUGACUGAAAGUCAGAAGACAAACUCACCGAAGCUAUGAGAGACACCUAUGAAACCAUAGAAGCCAUCUGUGGACUCAUGUCUAGGUUAUUCAAGAUAAACUGUUUAAUCAAAUUCAUACCU